UACAGAGGGUGCGAGCGUUAAUCGGAAUUACUGGGCGUAAAGCGCGUGUAGGCGGCUUUGCAAGUCGGGUGUGAAAGCCCUCAGCUCAACUGAGGAAGUGCGCCCGAAACUGCAGAGCUUGAGUGCCGGAGAGGGUGGCGGAAUUCCCCAAGUAGAGGUGAAAAUUCGUAGAUAUGGGGAGGAACACCGGUGGCGAAGGCGGCCACCUGGACGGUAACUGACGCUGAGACGCGAAAGCGUGGGGAGCAAACAGG
rnacentral:rRNA from 1 species